rnacentral:rRNA from 1 species
UAGGUGAACCUGCGAAGCAGAAUCCCGCGAAUCAUCGAGUCUUUGAACGCAAGUUGCGCCCGAAGCCACCUGGCCGAGGGCACGUCUGCCUGGGUGUCACGCAUCGUUGCCCCCAACCCCAUCGCCCUGCAAAGAGGCGGUGGGGGCAUGCGGGGCGGACAUUGGCCUCCCGUGGGCUGAUGCCUGCGGCUGGCCUAAAAACGAGUCCUCGGCGACGAUCGCCACGACAAUCGGUGGUUGACAAACCUUCGUGACCCGUCGUGCGCGCAUCGCCGCUCAACGCGUGCUCUUUUGACCCUGUCGCGUCGCGCUCGCGACGCUUCCAACGCGACCCCAGGUCAGGCGGGACUACCCGCUGAG